UUCUCUCAAUCAACGAGAUUACAGAGUAGUUUCCGAUCCGAAAUGCCGUUGCGUCCACCCAUUCUCCACCGUCGCCUACACCCUCGCUCCGUCAUCGAUGGUGGAAGGUAGCCAAGAAAUUACCGUAAACUGGCAACCUUCAUCGCCUAGGUUCAAAGGCAGUCGUUCGUGCUACGUUUUAGGGCACAAAAUCGACGGGUGAAUUAGAACGAUUGGGAUGGUUCAGUUCCAUGAAGGUCGCCGGACUGUUCUGGAUCUCCAAAUAUUGUGAAGAAUUCUGUUAGCCCUCGGAUGAAGCUCUAGAUAUCCCUCGAAUAUUCAUGGGCCAAAUUUUGCUAUUUUUUCAUUUGGUUUAGGCAUCAAAUUCAGAGUUGUUCUUUGAUUAAUGACUUUUUGAAGAGUUGUGACCAAUGCUGGAAAAUUCGAAGAUGUACAUGAAGAAUACUAAGAGUGAUGUUUAUUCACUUAUUUUGAUGGUGUGAUUUAGUUAUCUAAGAUAAAUUACUAAUGGGACACAACACACUGAUUGUAAAGAUAAAAUUGUUACUAUAUUUUGACCAUUUAUUUAUUUUCUAAAAUUUAUAGCUGAGCUGCAAUUAAUUGAAUGAUUGAGCCAACCAACUAAGAGAGCAAGCAGGUUAAAUGGCUGGAAAUAUUUGAACUUGUGAUGGUAAAUUUGGGUCAUUUUAAAAUGGUUAUAUAUACAGCCACAUAAAUGCCAUCAUAACUUAUGUCCCAUACAUUUGUUUACAAUAACAUAAAAUGUUGGAAAACAUUUUGUUUUAAUUCCAAAAGAAAUUCGGACGAACAAGGCUUAGAAUUUUG